rnacentral:rRNA from 1 species
AUUGAACGCUGGCAGCAGGCCUAACACAUGCUAGUCGAGCGGAGCGGCGGACGGGUGAGUACUGCCUAGGAAUCUGCCUGGUAGUGGGGGAUAACGUCCGGAAACGGGCGCUAAUACCGCAUAAUAUCAGAUGUGCAUAGGUCGGAUGAGCUAGUUGGUGGGGUAAAGGCCUACAAGGGCGACGAUACGUAACUGGGCUGAGAGGAUGAUCAGUCAGACGGGACCUGAGACACGGUCCAGACUCCAACGGGAGGCAGCAGUGGGGAAUAGGGGACAAUGGGCUAAAGUCUGAGCCAGCCAUGCCGAGUGGGUGAAGAAGGUCUUCGGAUGGUAACGCACUUUAAGUUGGGAGGCGUUACCAACAGAAUAAGCACCGGCAAACUUCGUGCCAGCAGCCGCGGUAAUAC